rnacentral:rRNA from 1 species
CGACGAGUCGAGUUGUUUGGGAAUGCAGCUCUAAGUGGGUGGUAAAUUCCAUCUAAAGCUAAAUAUUGGCGAGAGACCGAUAGCGAACAAGUACAGUGAUGGAAAGAUGAAAAGAACUUUGAAAAGAGAGUGAAAAAGUACGUGAAAUUGUUGAAAGGGAAGGGCUUGAGAUCAGACUUGGUAUUUUGCAUGUUGCUCUCUCGGGGGCGGCCGCUGCGGUUUACCGGGCCAGCAUCGGUUUGGAGCGGCAGGAUAAUGGCGGAGGAAUGUGGCACGGCUUCUGCUGUGUGUUAUAGCCUCUGACGAUACUGCCAGCCUAGACCGAGGACUGCGGUUUUUACCUAGGAUGUUGGCAUAAUGAUCUUAAGUCGCCCGUCUUGAAACACGGACCAAGGAGUCUAACGUCUAUGCGAGUGUUUGGGUGUAAAACCCGUACGCGUAAUGAAAGUGAACGAAGGUGGGGGCCCAUUAGGGUGCACCAUCGACCGAUCCUGAUGUGUUCGGAUGGAUUUGAGUAAGAGCAUA